rnacentral:lncRNA from 1 species
UCAACCCAUCUGCUAAUGACACUUAGGAAAAAACCCCCUCAUCGGCUGAGCCUCAUGGCCAGACUGCCUCUGCCCGCAGUGCCAUAGAGACCACAGGAACCUGGGAGCACUGUCUGGGCAGCGGACCAUGGACGAAUCUCUGUUGUUUUAAUUGAUCUAUGACAUCGGGAUUAAAACGUAUCCUUUCAGAUCUCGGACCACAUUGCUGACUGUAGCUUGACAGCUCGGGAACAGGCAAG